GAUGAACGCUGGCGGCGUGCUUAACACAUGCAAGUCGAACGAGAAGUGAAGACGGAAACCUUCGGGCGGAAGGCUUUAUUUCGAGUGGCGGACGGGUGAGUAACGCGUGGGUAACCUGCCUCAUACAGGGGGAUAACAGUUGGAAACGACUGUUAAUACCGCAUAAGACCACAGCACCGCAUGGUGCGGGGGUAAAAACUCCGGUGGUAUGAGAUGGACCCGCGUUCGAUUAGCCAGUUGGCGGGGUAACGGCCCACCAAAGCGACGAUCGAUAGCCGAUCUGAGAGGAUGACCGGCCACAUUGGGACUGAGACACGGCCCAAACUCCUACGGGAGGCAGCAGUGGGGAAUAUUGAACAAUGGGGGAAACCCUGAUGCAGCGACGCCGCGUGAGUGAAGAAGUAUUUCGGUAUGUAAAGCUCUAUCAGCAGGGAAGAAAAUGACGGUACCUGAGUAAGAAGCCCCGGCUAACUACGUG
rnacentral:rRNA from 1 species